AUACAGAGGGUGCAAACGUUGCUCGGAUUUACUGGGCGUAAAGCGCGUGUAGGCGGACUCGCAAGUCGGUUGUGAAAUCCCUGGGCUCAACCUAGGAACUGCAUCCGAAACUGCUUGUCUUGAGUAAUGGAGAGGGUGGCGGAAUUCCCGGUGUAGAGGUGAAAUUCGUAGAUAUCGGGAGGAACAUCAGUGGCGAAGGCGGCCACCUGGACAUUUACUGACGCUGAGACGCGAAAGCGUGGGGAGCAAACAGGAUUAGAUACCCUGGUAGUCCACGCCGUAAACGAUGAGAACUAGGUGCAGCGGAUAUUGACCUCUGCUGUGCCGUAGCUAACGCGUUAAGUUCUCCGCCUGGGGAGUACGGCCGCAAGGCUAAAACUCAAAGGAAUUGACGGGGCCCGCACAAGCAGUGGAGCAUGUGGUUUAAUUCGAAGCAACGCGCAGAACCUUACCAGGGCUAGAAAACUAAGAAUCCUGACGAAACUCGGGAGUGCUCGCAAGAGAACUUAGG
rnacentral:rRNA from 1 species